UACCAGAAGGAAAGCUAGGUGGCUGGUUUCUGUGCUAUUGGGGAUGGCAGAGCAUGAUUGCCUGAAGGAAUGGCCAGAGAGACCUGGGGGGAGGGACAGGUGCAAAAGGAACUUUUCAAAGGAAAUGCUGCAGGUAAGGGCAUGAAUAAUCGCUUUGACUCCAGCAAUAUUCAGGAAAAAUAUAAAACCCCUAAGAUGCUCGGAGCCAUGAGCUCUCUUGAGAAAGCUGAGGGUGGCGUGGUUUGCCUCCAGGUUAUCACAGGUCAGAGCAGAGUCCACCCACGUAUGUCAGAAGUCGGCUGUAUUUCCUGUGGAGUAAUGGGUAUGUAGAACCUGCAAAGCUAUUUGACACAUCCCCCGACCCUCCCAGGUCUCCAGCCUGUGUUGUUUGGUACUAUUUAGGGGUUGGGGGAGGAGGCAAUGGCCUGGGCUGGAAGGUAUUAGGGGAUCGAGAUGAAAAGAGCUAGACAAAAACUGGGAGGCAAGAUUCUGGUGGGAAGAAGGGGGGAGGCAGAAGUUGUGGCAGGUCAAAGGAGACAACUUGGAGUUCAAUAGGAUUUCAUACUCAGUAAAUUAGUCACGUCUCUACUUAGUUUCGGCUUCUGCAUAGGAGGACAACCGUGGAAGUGGAAGAGGGAGCUACUCAUAGUUCACCAAGAAAACAGGAAUACAGUAUCCAUUCUGAGGAGAAUUAUCCCAGUUCAACUUGAGAGCUGAAAGAAAAAGAACAAGGGAGCUGAUGUCAGGUCUCAGUUCAGAAGUUGAGAGGUGGAACCAGACUCUGCCUCCCCCAUGCCUGUAUCUGAGCAGCUCCCCAUCACCAGACAAAAGCACACAACUGACUUUAUUUCAUUUUACAAGUACGACAAUAUGUCUCCUUUGGACACUCAACCCUGCUUGACAGUCGUAUUAUAAUUCCCCAGCACAGUCAUCUGGUCACUUUCAAAAACAACCAUUCACUCCUUCUCUUGUCUGGAUAAGUCUCCUGAAAUUUCUGUUCAUUCUCGGCUAAUCAUUUCCCUCACAUUUAUUUUGAAAACACCAGUCAAUCAGACGGGAACUUUCUCAUCUCCCUACUGCUAGACCUACCUACCACUUGUAUGUCAAACUCCACUUGUAUGUCAUCUUCCUGUUAGUGUCAGGUCAACUCUUUUACUUCAGAUGGGAAUCCUAUGCUUCCUGCCCUCUCAGGGACUUUGCUUCCGCAAUAGUUUUCUUCUGUUCCUUAGAGAAAUAUUUUCUUCUCUGGGAGAACUUCAAUUGGUGUACGAAUAUGCUCUCGCAUUUCCUAUCCAAACAAAAACACAUGUUUGCCACAUCUCCCCCUCAUGUGGUAGCCCCAUUUCUGACCAUUUUCGUAGUUUUCUAGUUAGCCUGUAGCUGGUGUCUCUCAUUUGCUCACCAUGCAUUUCCUCCUCAAAGGCCUCCUUCACAGAUCUGAGUCUGACAGUCACAUAUCUGUCUUAUUGUCCUCCCUCCUCUUUUAAAGCGAUAGCUAAUGGGGAUAUCAGUUAGCUAUUGCUUCAUAACACAUCACCCUAAAACUUCGUGGCUUAAAAUAACAAUUUAUCAUUGCUCUUGAGACUAUAGGUCUUCUAAGUGGUUUAUAUGGUCUUCACUUUUCUCACUUAUGUGUUUAUGGGUCGCCGUGGGUAAUGUGGCUCUGUUGACCUCUGUUGAUCUGGGUUGGAUUUUUCCAUGUUGAGGAUUGGAUGUUUCCAGAGUGGCCUCAUCUGGAGAUUUAGAAAUUGGCAGGUUUUCAUACACUGGCCAACUCCAUUCUCCUAGUUCUGUUCAUCUAGAAAAUAAUAGUGCUGAUCUAUUGGUGGCAAUUCUUGACUUUGUGCGUGUUUGUGUGUAAUACAGAGAAACAAAUUAGAAACCAUUUUAUUCCUCUACAUCCUGUAAAUUGCAUGGCUUUGCUUUUAGGUACAAUGGAAAUAAGUAAGAACUUAAUGGAGUCAUUUUUCAUUUUGCAGUUUCUGAUCGUGCCAACGAUCAAAAGAAGGACGAAGGACGAUUAAACACAUCCUUACUUUAUUCCACUUCUGUGUGAAGACCUGUAUGAACAGGAAAAUUAUUUUAGGAUAAGUACCUGUGCAAAAAAAAAGGCAACAUUUUUUUUGUGACUGAGGAAGCUGUCAUAGAUAAGUGAGUUGUCUCUGAAAUAUGUAAAACCUUUUUCAUAUGUAAAUAAAGUAAAACCUGGCAGCUUAGCCA